rnacentral:misc_RNA from 1 species
GAAAAAGACGUUGUGCACCAUUAAGUCUCUUUAAUGUCCCUAAGUCGAGCUUUUGGUUGAGGUUUUAGGGUAAAAGUUGUGAAUUUUGACAUUUUUAAAAGAAUGUGGUGACGGCAUUGCUAUUUGAGGCAUGCUGAUUUGAUGUUUCUGCCUUCUGCAUCACUUGAUAAUGGAAUUUACUUUCCAUUUUUGUGCCUUUUCAAUCUUUUGGAAUUGAAGGGAUAAUUAAUUGAAUUUAGGUCCAUUUUUCUUGUUCCUAGAAAUAGUCGUUUAAUUUAAUUUAUUUUAUGCUGAAUUAAUUAGCUAAUUGGCUGUUUGGUUGUUGUUUGUGCGAGCUGUUGCAUGCCUGUUUGUUUGGGAUUACUUCUCUGAUAACUCUUUACUUUUAGGAAUUCAGAACAUAUGGGAAUCUAUUUGGAAACUUUGUGGAGUACCCAAACUGGAAUUACAAGGUUUUAUCGUAUUCGUGACAACCUAUGUUACUCUGACUGGGGUACGGGUGUCGAAAAUAGGUAUAUUUGUGUGUUAGACUUGUGAACUUUUUAAAUAAAAAAUUUGGGGAUAUGAAUAUAAAUUUAGACAUGGGUGCUCGGAUAUGAUACGUAGGCAGGUUGUAGUAAUCUAUCCAAAAGGGGCUAGACACAAUUAAUUGUCAUCUGCAAC